rnacentral:lncRNA from 1 species
GUGACUAACGGCUGGAACCGCCUAAGACACCACCCCAGCCAGCAUGGCCGGCAGGAGCGCACCGCGCUGUCUCCCUCCAGGGAUCCGCACCGCCCUACAAUCCUGCUUUGUGCUGAGAUUGUAGUCCUGCAGGCGUACAACUAACAAGCUGGGUGCAGAUAAGAGACUACAGCUCCCCGCAUCCCAAGCAAAGGUCCCUCCUCUACGGAGCCCCUCCACGCGUCCACUGCGGUUCCGCCGUGCCAAGGGGAGCUUGGCUGUUCACGGGCCUCACCUGCUAGCGAGAAGAUAGCUUGGCCGGGCGGCUGAUCUCACCUUGUAAUUCUGACACUGUGUCUCCCGGGCUUGUCGGCUUCAUGACUUGUGCCCAAAGUUUGAUUUCUCGCAGACCAGGAGGACCCAUUGGACCCCCGGGCUGGCUGCAGGGCCCACACCUGGGUUAGACCUCGCACAGGGACGCUGCUGCCACUGUAAUAAAGCGUGCCUACACGCUUCUGAAACUGGUGUAGGAACAACCUCAGUUCUGUGAAAGGCGGACGCAGCAGGACAGAAUCUCCGUGGACAUCUGUCUGGAGGAGCAAUUUUACUGCGACAUUUUAAAGAAACAAAUUUAAUUGAUUUCCAAGGGUGUCCAUCGCGCUUCCUUCACUGCCUUGAUCAUGUCGGGGUCACCACCUGCGGGGGUUUGUCCUGCAGACCCUGACUCAACGACGGAUGAAUAAUGUACACUGACACAGAUCUUAUGCUUGUCAGUCCUGCUGAGCAUCCAGGCCACUUACAGACUCCAAGAAGAGUCCUGUCAGCCACGGCUCUGACUUGUUGGCCCUCCCGGCAUUUAUUUAGCACACAUUUAAUGACAGAAGUCUCAGGCUGGAAACACUCUUUUUGUAGAACAUACAAAUGGACAUUUCUAAGCACAUUGAGGCCUAUAAUGAAAAAUCAAAUAUCCCACAAUGAAAACUAGAAGGAAGCUAUCUGUGAUAAUGCUUUGUGGUGUAUGGAUUCAUCUCACUGACUGAAACCUGAGUUUUGAUUCACCAGGUAAGAAACACUUUUUUUUUUAAUAGAAUCUACAAAGGGACAUUUCUGAGCAAAUUGAGGCUAAGAGUAAAAAAUCAAAUAUCACACGAUAAAAACUAGUAACAAGCUAUCUGUGAAAAUGCUUUUCAAUGUUUGAAUUCAUUUCACAGAGUUAAACCUUUGUUUUGAUUGAACAGGUUGGAGACACUCUUUUUAUAGGAUCUACCAAGAGACAUUUCUGACCUCAUUGAGGCCAAUAGUAAAAAAUCAAAUGUCUCAUGAUAAAAAGUAAAAAGAUGCUAUCUGUGAAAAUGCUUUCUGGAGUGGAGAUUUAUCUCAGUGAAUUGAAUCUGUGUUUUGAUUCACCAGGUUGGAAACCUUCUUUUUGUAAAACCUACAGUGGGACAUUUCUGAGCUCAUUGAGGCUUGUAGUGAAAAACUGAGUUUCCUGCAAUAAAAACCGAAAACAGGUUAUCUGUGAAAGUGAUUUGUGAUGUGCAAAUUCAUCUCAUGAAAAUAAACCUCUGCUUUGAUUGAAUAAAUGGGAAGAACUUUUUUGUAGAAAUUUCUGAGCUCCUUUAGGUCUAUAGCAAAAAAAUCUAAUAUCCUGCAAACAAAACUAGAAACAAGCUACAUGUGAAGGUGCUUUCUGAUGUGUGAAUUCAUCUCACCAAAUGAAACUCGUGUUUUGAUUUAGUAGGUUGAAAACAAUCUUUUUGAAGAAUAUACGAAGGGACAUUACUGAGCUUAUUGAGGCUUAUAUUGAAAAACUGAAUAUCCCACAAAAUAAACUAGAAACAAGUGAUCUGUGAAAAUAGUUGGCCAUGUGUAAAUUUAUCUCACACAGUUAAACCCUUUUUUUGACUCAACAAAUUAGAACUCUUUUUGUAGAAUCUAUGAAGGGACAUUUCUGAGCUCAUUGAGGCCUAUCGUGAAAAACUGAAUAUCCCAUGAUGAAAACUAGAAAGAAGCUAUCUGUGAAAAUAUUUAGCAAUGUGUUCUUUCAUCUCACAGAGUUAAAUCUUUUUUUUUUUUUAUUCACCAUAUUGGAAAUACUCUUUUUGUAGAAUCUACAAAGAAACAUUUCUGAGCCCAUUGAAGCCUAUAGUAAAAAAACAAAUAUUCUGCAGUUGAAACUAGAAACAAUCUCUUUGAAAAUGCCUUGUGAUGUGUGGAUGCAUCUCAUUAAAAGGAGCCUGUGUUUUGGUUCACCAGAUUGGAAACACUUUUUUGUAGAAUAUACGAUGGGAUGUAUCUGAGCCCAUUGAGGCCUAUAGUAAAAAAUGGAAUAUCUUGCAAUAAAAAACUAGAAACGAGCUAUCUUUGAAUAUGCUUUCUGAUGUGUGGAUUCAUCUCACAGAGUUAAACCUUAUUUUUGACUCACCAAGAUGGAAAUACUUUUUUUUGUAGAAUCUAUGAUAAGACAUUUCUGAGUCUAUUGAUGUGUAUAGUGCCAAACAGAAUAUCCCACAAUAAAAACUAGAA